GAGGCCCAAUUUCAUGGCAUCAAAUUACAAAGUAAAAUUUCUCUUAAGUCAUAUUUGAUACAUAUAGCAUUUUUAACAAUGGAAGUUAGAAUUACUUGAUGUGCUUAGAAAACAAAAAAUACUGCCCCUUAAAAAUCAAUUGAGAGGUUUGAAACCUCAGAGGGAAUCCACAUGAGGUGAUGUCAGAUCACACUGGGUCUGAUCAGAUGACUUCUCAGACCCGGCAGGCCAUCUCGCAUAUCAGUAGCGCGACCGCAUGACAACUUCAGAAAUCAUGGCAAGGCAAUGCACACUAGGAGCAUGAGAUUCUGCCGAGGUGGAAGGCUUUUUGAUCUGGAGCUCUCACGGCAACAAGCUCCGCCCACAAAUGCAUAUUUCUCACAAAUGUGCCGCAGUUUAAGAGGAAACAGACAGACUUAGAAAGUGUUUACUGCCAAAAAGCAUUGUUGCAACAAUGGCAACAGCCAUUAAAAAAAAAAAAUCGAUCGACCAAAAUAACUUUCCUUACACACUCUCUGCUGAGUGCAAACUGGGCAACAUCUCUUCUCUCGCAGCAGUCGGCUCGUCCUGGCACGACGACGGGAGGGCUUAGUCAAAGUAUUAAUGGUUAUAAUUCAUUUGGUUGUGACAGCUGAGCCCACUGUAAGCAUCCUGGCUCAGCUGGUGCACAUCAAAGUGGCCAAGCCAUUAAUAAUGCUAUUAGUAACACCGGAGAAAGUCAAAUAUUCCUAAUAGCCUUCUCAGGAUGCUUCCUGCUGGGCUAUAUUCAGACACCUGCGGGGAGAGUGGAGUGUGCUUGUUAAAGCCAUUGCAGAUAAGCCGUUUCAAUAGAAAGUGUGUCCGUUUGCGUCGGCUGAUGACAAAAAUAUUUGUUUCUGAGGGCUUUACGCAUGAAAAUAAUAUGUACUGUAUUUGAUAGUACAGGAGCGUUGUGAGGAACGCAUAAAAUCACAAUUUUUUCCCACUCUGUGAAUAUGUCUUAAGUCAUUGUUUAAAAUUGGGUUUUAUUCAUUUAGAAUACUGAUCAUUUAUUCUUUGAUAUUCCAGCGAUUGCGAAAUGAAUUGCGUCGUUGCUUCAUUUGGGAUUUUGGUAGAUAAAACCGUCUUCUAGAGAUUUUUACACCCUCCAAAUUCACCAUUUACUUUGUGCAGGCAGAGCAUUUAUGAACAUUUCACUUUGUGUGCUGCGCUCUUGAACAAAGUAAAGAGUUUGCUUCACGUGCCGGUGAUUCAAAAUGCUAAAAAGAAGAAACAGGAGCUGGAGACCCUCCAGCCCCCAAGAAAAAAAAGACUCAAAAGUGCAUUUAAAACUAAAAUAGGCCACAAUCUUGAAAAGUCAAAAUCUUCACAUAAAUCUGACGUCACAAUUGCAAACUAACGCAGGCCUCCUGGCCUUUUAACAUAUCAGAAUUAUCGAGCCUUCUAUUGCUAUCUCCUCUGCAACUAAACACAAGGCAUGAAAAAACAAAAAACAGCCACUCCCUCAAAACUGCUUUUGCAAGCCGGCACUCAGAGAAAGAAUGCACAGUGUGAUUUAUGUCACAGCAGUACAUAAAACUGACAUCUGCACUUCCCUGCACCGCUGGGUUCCCAUGAGGUUAGCAAGAGCCGCAUUGCAAAACUGAAGAAAUUCUUCAGCUUUCUCACCGAGGGUUGGGAAAAUGGAUCCAGCUUGGUUUUGAGGAAAGCACAAAGACAUUAGGGCGGUAUUGGAUGUCUGACUGUCAAUACUCUGCGAGAUAACAAAUAAAACCGUUCACCGAAAGAUCAAACCGUUUCCUGAACUGUAAGCUGAACCUGGUGAGCAUUGAUUUGGCGACUUGUAGGUGAAGGGACCAUGUGAAGGUUGAGUUGAAAAUGGACCGACUAAUACAGAAGCAUCAGCAAAAAUGCUGACUGCAGGCUGAUGCAGAGAGGCGCACAGUAAAACUGCGAGUUUGAAUUGAGAUAAGGAACCCAGAGGGUGCAACGCAAAUGAACGUGUAGCACGUCGUGCAGCCUCCCAGGUCUUCAUUCUUCUUCCCUUCGCGCUCCUCCAUCUCGUACAUUUCAGCUCGCUAAGCCUCUUCACCGUCUCAGACGGCACCAAAGAGGACGUCUGCGGCGCGCACGGGGAGCUAUUUCAGAUGUUCUUUUGACUCCAAGCAUCAAACAAAUCCACUCUGCCUUCAUCAGGACGCAGUGGUGAGGCAUUCAAGCCUCCAUUUGUGUGGAAGAGAGUGGCUGCGUCGCAGGGAAGGAGCGAUUUCAACAGAGCUGCAAGCGGAAACCGACUCGCCUGUGUGUAGACUUCAUUUGACGGGGACGUAAAGGGAAUAAAAAUACAAAAAACAUGUGGGUUUGAUGCCUUUAAGAUCUUUUUUUAAUGACCUGCAGAAGUAUCUCACGGUAACAAAGAGGGAAAUGAAACCCUGAUACUGUCAAUCUAAUUAUCACUACAUGCAAAUGUCAGCUGAUCUGUUUCCUUUCUGUGCAAAAAGCUGUGCAUGCUCUCACCUUAUGCGUUGGCAGAUCAAAUUAGCCAGAAAUUAGCAAUCGCAUGAAGUGCAACAAACACCGCAGUCGAUUGUGUCAAGUUCACAUCGUCUCAAAGGUGAUUUGGAGUCCCAGAUUUAGAACCAGAGGUGAUUUUGACACUCCAGCCUAUCAAAUAAAUCCCCCUUCAAAAUCUUUUUUUUAUUUUUUCAAUUCGAAACAAUAUGUAGCUACAAAAAAAUAAAGGUUCAGACCCCCAAAUUUCAGAAGCAAUGUGGAUGA